UACGUAGGGUGCGAGCGUUGUCCGGAAUUAUUGGGCGUAAAGGGCUCGUAGGCGGUCUGUCGCGUCGGGAGUGAAAACGCGGGGCUUAACCCCGUGCCUGCUUCCGAUACGGGCAGACUAGAGGUAUGCAGGGGAGAACGGAAUUCCUGGUGUAGCGGUGAAAUGCGCAGAUAUCAGGAGGAACACCGGUGGCGAAGGCGGUUCUCUGGGCAUUACCUGACGCUGAGGUUCGAAAGCUCGGGGAGCAAACAGG
rnacentral:rRNA from 1 species